GUGGAUUAGAUACCCUGGUAGUCCACGCCGUAAACGAUGAUCACUCGCUGUUGGCGAUAUACAGUCAGCGGCAAAGCAAAAGCAUUAAGUGAUCCACCUGGGGAGUACGGCCGCAAGGCUGAAACUCAAAGGAAUUGACGGGGGCCCGCACAAGCGGAGGAACAUGUGGUUUAAUUCGAUGGUACGCGAGGAACCUUACCUGGGCUUAAAUGUAGAGUGCAUUUCACCGAAAGGUGGAUUUUCUUCGGAACUCUCUGCAAGGUGCUGCACGGCCGUCGACAGCU
rnacentral:rRNA from 1 species